GGGUUGUGAGGUUAAGCGACUAAGCGUACACGGUGGAUGCCCUGGCAGUCAGAGGCGAUGAAGGACGUGCUAAUCUGCGAAAAGCGUCGGUAAGGUGAUAUGAACCGUUAUAACCGGCGAUGUCCGAAUGGGGAAACCCAGUGCAAUUCGUUGCACUAUCGUUAACUGAAUACAUAGGUUAACGAGGCGAACCGGGGGAACUGAAACAUCUAAGUACCCCGAGGAAAAGAAAUCAACCGAGAUUCCCCCAGUAGCGGCGAGCGAACGGGGAGCAGCCCAGAGUCUGAAUCAGCUUGUGUGUUAGUGGAACGGUCUGGAAAGUCCGACGGUACAGGGUGAUAGUCCCGUACACCAAAAUGCACAGGCUGUGAACUCGAAGAGUAGGGCGGGACACGUGGUAUCCUGUCUGAAUAUGGGGGGACCAUCCUCCAAGGCUAAAUACUCCUGACUGACCGAUAGUGAACCAGUACCGUGAGGGAAAGGCGAAAAGAACCCCGGCGAGGGGAGUGAAAAAGAACCUGAAACCGUGUACGUACAAGCAGUGGGAGCACCUUCGGGUGUGACUGCGUACCUUUUGUAUAAUGGGUCAGCGACUUAUAUUCUGUAGCAAGGUUAACCGUAUAGGGGAGCCGCAGGGAAACCGAGUCUUAACUGGGCGUUAAGUUGCAGGGUAUAGACCCGAAACCCGGUGAUCUAGCCAUGGGCAGGUUGAAGGUUGGGUAACACUAACUGGAGGACCGAACCGACUAAUGUUGAAAAAUUAGCGGAUGACUUGUGGCUGGGGGUGAAAGGCCAAUCAAACCGGGAGAUAGCUGGUUCUCCCCGAAAGCUAUUUAGGUAGCGCCUCGUGAAUUCAUCUUCGGGGGUAGAGCACUGUUUCGGCUAGGGGGUCAUCCCGACUUACCAACCCGAUGCAAACUACGAAUACCGAAGAAUGUUAUCACGGGAGACACACGGCGGGUGCUAACGUCCGUCGUGAAGAGGGAAACAACCCAGACCGCCAGCUAAGGUCCCAAAGUCAUGGUUAAGUGGGAAACGAUGUGGGAAGGCACAGACAGCCAGGAUGUUGGCUUAGAAGCAGCCAUCAUUUAAAGAAAGCGUAAUAGCUCACUGGUCGAGUCGGCCUGCGCGGAAGAUGUAACGGGGCUAAACCAUGCACCGAAGCUGCGGCAGCGACACUAUGUGUUGUUGGGUAGGGGAGCGUUCUGUAAGCCUGCGAAGGUGUGCUGUGAGGCAUGCUGGAGGUAUCAGAAGUGCGAAUGCUGACAUAAGUAACGAUAAAGCGGGUGAAAAGCCCGCUCGCCGGAAGACCAAGGGUUCCUGUCCAACGUUAAUCGGGGCAGGGUGAGUCGACCCCUAAGGCGAGGCCGAAAGGCGUAGUCGAUGGGAAACAGGUUAAUAUUCCUGUACUUGGUGUUACUGCGAAGGGGGGACGGAGAAGGCUAUGUUAGCCGGGCGACGGUUGUCCCGGUUUAAGCAUGUAGGCUGGUUGUCCAGGCAAAUCCGGAUAAUCAAGGCUGAGGUGUGAUGACGAGGCACUACGGUGCUGAAGUAACAAAUGCCCUGCUUCCAGGAAAAGCCUCUAAGCAUCAGGUAACAUCAAAUCGUACCCCAAACCGACACAGGUGGUCAGGUAGAGAAUACCAAGGCGCUUGAGAGAACUCGGGUGAAGGAACUAGGCAAAAUGGUGCCGUAACUUCGGGAGAAGGCACGCUGGUGUGUAGGUGAAGCCCCUGCGGGUGGAGCUGAGACCAGUCGAAGAUACCAGCUGGCUGCAACUGUUUAUUAAAAACACAGCACUGUGCAAACACGAAAGUGGACGUAUACGGUGUGACGCCUGCCCGGUGCCGGAAGGUUAAUUGAUGGGGUUAUCCGUAAGGAGAAGCUCUUGAUCGAAGCCCCGGUAAACGGCGGCCGUAACUAUAACGGUCCUAAGGUAGCGAAAUUCCUUGUCGGGUAAGUUCCGACCUGCACGAAUGGCGUAAUGAUGGCCAGGCUGUCUCCACCCGAGACUCAGUGAAAUUGAACUCGCUGUGAAGAUGCAGUGUACCCGCGGCAAGACGGAAAGACCCCGUGAACCUUUACUAUAGCUUGACACUGAACAUUGAGCCUUGAUGUGUAGGAUAGGUGGGAGGCUUUGAAGCGUGGACGCCAGUCUGCGUGGAGCCAACCUUGAAAUACCACCCUUUAAUGUUUGAUGUUCUAACGUUGGCCCCUGACCGGGGUUGCGGACAGUGUCUGGUGGGUAGUUUGACUGGGGCGGUCUCCUCCCAAAGCGUAACGGAGGAGCACGAAGGUUAGCUAAUCCUGGUCGGACAUCAGGAGGUUAGUGCAAUGGCAUAAGCUAGCUUGACUGCGAGCGUGACGGCGCGAGCAGGUGCGAAAGCAGGUCAUAGUGAUCCGGUGGUUCUGAAUGGAAGGGCCAUCGCUCAACGGAUAAAAGGUACUCCGGGGAUAACAGGCUGAUACCGCCCAAGAGUUCAUAUCGACGGCGGUGUUUGGCACCUCGAUGUCGGCUCAUCACAUCCUGGGGCUGAAGUAGGUCCCAAGGGUAUGGCUGUUCGCCAUUUAAAGUGGUACGCGAGCUGGGUUUAGAACGUCGUGAGACAGUUCGGUCCCUAUCUGCCGUGGGCGCUGGAGAAUUGAGGGGGGCUGCUCCUAGUACGAGAGGACCGGAGUGGACGCAUCACUGGUGUUCGGGUUGUCAUGCCAAUGGCACUGCCCGGUAGCUAAAUGCGGAAGAGAUAAGUGCUGAAAGCAUCUAAGCACGAAACUUGCCCCGAGAUGAGUUCUCCCUGAGACUUUAAGUCUCCUGAAGGAACGUUGAAGACGACGACGUUGAUAGGCCGGGUGUGUAAGCGCAGCGAUGCGUUGAGCUAACCGGUACUAAUGAACCGUGAGGCUUAACCUUACAACGCCGAAG
rnacentral:rRNA from 1 species